rnacentral:miRNA from 1 species
UGACUGACAUUGCUGUGCUAGCA